ensembl:lncRNA
CCUUGCGCCCCUGGCAAGGCCCGGGUUGGGCUUAACCCCGGUGGGUGCGAACCCGCCUGGCGCGAAGGCGAGAUGUGGCCGCAGAGCCUGGCCGCGCUCUGCCACUGUAGGCCGCCACAGACUCUGCCCAGACUGAAAUGAGCACUUGAGUUUCACACUUUUAUCGGGAGGAGGAGCUGGCGUGUGUUAUGAAACUAAACACCUGAGACGGUGAAAGUUUAAGUGAUUUGCCUGCGGUAGCAUUAAAGUUCUUACCCAUAUGAUCAUCUUUGGGAUCAAUGCGACCGUGACGUUGAUUUCACCGAGCACUUUAGGAGACUGCUCAGGAAAAGCUACCAAUGAACAAAAUGGAAUUUGAAGCUGAAACACCUGGAAGACUUGGUAUGGACUUGGCCCUGGUCUUGAAGAAGGAACCCAGACACAGCACAGGUGUGGGGGAAUGUGAAGACAGUGGGCCUCAAGGGCUGGCCCCAGAUGACGAGUCUCUGAUGCCGGAAGUCCUAGCAAGUGCAUUUCCUGCAGGACUGAUACUGAGCUUAUCUGUUUUCAUGAGGGGCUGUUAUCUUGUAGGUUUGCGUCACUGUCUUCAUCUCGCUCCAGAGCACCAUUGGGGAAAUUGGGAGGAAUUUCCAUUAAAAAUGAGAUAGAGUUGAUUUUGAAAAGAGAAGAGCCUACCCUCUCUCAUUUCCUGACACUGAGUCAAGUGACUUCCAGUAAAGGUAGGAAGAUGAUUGACAUUCGUCUCCUUCUCUCUUUCUGCUCUGGUUCAGUGACCCCAAAACUGUAUCAGUCAGAAAAACAGGGCCUCUCACCCUCUAGGAGUGGGUUUCGUUUCUAUGAGGAGCUUCCAUGUUAACCUUCCAGCUCUGUGUCUUCCUAGCUCUCUCCCUGAUGUUGAGACAUUUCUGUUACCAGAUAAACAGAUGGAGGCUGAUGGUAACAGAGGACUCUGGGUGGGGUCCAGGAAGGAAGCCACCUGAUAGCAGUGCUAGGGGUGUCAUUCUCAUGUACUCCAUGGGGUCACCAAGCUGGAGAGGCAGAGGAGCCACAUUGUACAUCUGAGCUGUGUUGGGUGGAUGCUUGCUAGACCCUGAGAUCUAGGACAGGAGACAGGACAGCUUGGCUAGUCUACUCUUCACCUGAAGGCAUGAGAAAUGUGUUCAACCUCCUUAACCUUAUUUCUGUUUUGCCACCUGAUCUGUUAAGAAGUGAGUUGAAAGUUUUAAAAUUUCCUAUUGCUUUUUUCCUGUCAAUUAAUACUUCUACUUUGAGCGAGUUUUAUUUUAUAUAUGUAAUGGCUAUGUUACUUAGGACUUAGAAUGUAUGCCUGUUAACUGUUGCAUCCUGGAAGAUGAUGUUCUUCAUCAAAAUAUCACCUUCUGGAGUUCCCAUCGUGGCGCAGUGGUUAACGAAUCCGACUAGGAACCAUGAGGUUUCGGGUUCGAUCCCUGGCCUUGCUCAGUGGGUUAAGGAUGUGGCGUUGCCAUGAGCUGUGGUCAAAAAUGCGGGUGCUGUGGCUCUGGCGUAGGCUGGCAGCAACAGCUCCAAUUAGACCCCUAGCCUGGGAACCUCCAUAUGCUGUGGGUGCGGCCCUAGAAAAGGCAGAAAGACAAAACAAAACAAAACAAAACAAAUCACCUUCUGUGGCCCAGGAAUUCUUCCAGCCUUGAAUUUUAAUUUGGCUGAUAUUAAUUUUGUGAUAUUUAUUUUCUAAAUAAAUAAUUGCCAAACACAGCAAAAUGUAUAAAGCUUCCCGAAUCAAUUUAUAAAUUUAUGUAAUCUUAUUACCAAACCUGGGGAACCUAGAACAAAAAAAGCAACUACACACCCAUCUCAUUUAUAAAUAUACAGAUUUAAAAGACUAAAAUGUUUCAACAAAUGAAAUCUAGUAAUAUGUUAGAAGAAUAACAUAUCACACUGAAAAGAUUUUACUCCAGGAAUGCAGGGAUGGUUCAGUAUGAAGAUCUAAUAAUACAGUUUAUCACACAGACAGAUUUGAAAAAAAGCUAAUCUCAACAGAUAUUUAAAUGGCAUUUGGUAAAAUUCAACAUUCAUUCCCAGUAAAACCAAUUAAUAAACACAUACUAACAUCACAGCUCACAAUAAAAUAGUAAAGAUAUUACUGUUAGAGUAAAAAAGCCAGUAAGUAUGUUUAUUACCAUAGCCAUUUUAAAUGUUUUCCUAGAAAUUUCCAUUAUAAGGUGCUCUGAGAAAAUAAUAAAUAAAAAUAACUUCUCUUCUGGGAAAUUAUGGUAAAGAUAUAAUCAAACUUGUUGACAAAGAUACAAGUAUAGAGUGCAUACUGUGACUUUAUUAAUAUACCAAAAUAAAUCUUAAAAAUUUAGGAUUUAUAAAUCAGGCAACAAGGGACUUGCCUAAUAAAGUAUGACACAUCUAUACUUGGGAAUUACAUGAAGACUUUCUAAAAUCAUGAUUUGCAAGAAUGGCAGGGAAAUGCUUGCUCUAUAAUACUAAUAAAAAAGCAUGGUCUAAAAAUUAGAUAUAUAAUUUUAUUUUAUAUCUAUUUUAUUAAAUGAAACAUUAAUAUUUAAUAUUAUUUGUAUUUAAUAUUGUAUUUAUAAUAAAUUUAUUUAAUAUUCAAUAAUAAUUCAAUAAAAUAUAAUUAAAUGUAUUAUAUUUAUUUUACAUUAAAUAUUAAAUAUUAUUAAUAUUAAAUAUUAUUUAAUAUAUAAAUUUAUUAAAUUUAUAUAUAGAAUAAAAUCCAAGUUUUGAAGUGAAAGAAAAUAGACACAGAAAAUAAUGGGAGGAUAUACACUUAAAAUUAAUAAACUUUUUUUGAUAUGGUAGAAUAUGAGUAGAUUUUGUUUCUUUAUAUUUUUGUGUACUUUCUUUUUUUUGACAAUAGCCUAUAUUUUACUUUCUAAUGAUAAAAGUAAAGACUUUUUGAAGUAUUGGGUAAGACAUUAAAAGAAAUGUGCUUUAAAAUUAUAAACAUGUGCAAAUAAAAAAUUACACUUGAUUAUUCUACUAAAUCAGGACUAAACUGGAAUUUAAAUCAGAGAGUCUAAAAGGCAAAGAAUAACAAUGGUGAACUGCAAGAAAAAUAUCUCAAAUUAUUUGCAAGUCAGAGGUCAGUGUUCCCUUCUGCCUCUGCUUCGGGAAGAGUGCCCAAAGUCUUUAGGGGAGGCAGCAUUUCAUGCCCUGUCCUCUUCCCGUUCCCACCCUGAAUAGCUUUUUUCCCAAAAAAGAAUAAAGAAUACUCAAUGAAAACUAUUAAAAUGCUUGGCAAAACUACACAGGCAGACACAGAGGCCAAUUAAAUAUAAAUAGUUCAUACCAAAACUAUCUUUUUGACCCAGCCACUAAUAUCUACCCGGCCCCAGAUUUAACUGUUUGGAUGAAAAUGACAAAGAGGACAAAAGCCUGCCAGCCAGCCACAGCGGAGCACCCAUUAGAAGUGUUCACAUUUGUCUGAAGAUUGUGUGUGCAGUAUGUUUCCCUAAGACACGGGAGGGAUGCGGAUAUCUGACUACCUCCCUAAACCUGGGAAGGUGACUUUUUCCUUUCAAAUGUAAUCUUUCCAUCACCUACUGUUACUUUUUUGGGGUCUCAAACAGAGGGCCCAUUCCCUUUGGAUUUUGAAGCUAUCAAUACUUUUUCUUUUUUUUUUUUUUUUUUUUUUUUUUCUUUUAAGGCGUAGCUGCUUUAGACCUUAAAAACGAAUACAAUAAUAACCAUUGUGAAAAAAAACAGCUUUGAUUUUUGGAGGACAAUUGCUAUGGGGUGGUGUGUUUCCAAGGGCUUAAGUCCGGUCCUGGCCCUGACACUUGGUGUGUAAGACUUGCUAUGUUCCUUCAUUGCCUUGGCUAUCAGUUUCUCCAUCUGUAAAUGCAGGAUGGUGGUACCUGCUAUAUUGUGUGGUUGCUGUGAGGGUUAAAUGAGAUAAUGCUGUGUAACCUCUUAGACUCUAUGCACUUUAAGAUACCCCUCCAUACUUAGCUAAGUACUGUACACUCACUGCUCUUGAGGUAAAAUUGAGCAAAAUAUUUUGUAGUGCCAAAAUAAAAUCACUGUUAGCUUGUUUACACAAAGAUUAUUAAAGUAGGAAAUAUGUUUUGAUUUUUUUUUUUCUACGAGUGAGGAUAGGAGUUACCAUCAUUCAUUUAUAUUGUUUGGGCACCAAUAAUAUGUAUUUGUAAUAUAAUAUUUGAUACAGAGAUAGUCACUUAAUAGACUGCCUCCAUGUUUAUUAAAAAUCAAUUAAAACUAUUUCAGAAGCACAUCUGAAAACCUCCAUUUCUAAAAAUAGGAUGGAUUAGGUUACCUGAAAUCUCUCCUACUACAGAAUGCCUAGAAAUGCUGAAAACCUAUGACAUCCUUUUAAAUUCAUCAUUUGAAUUCCAAGAAGGUAUGAGAAAUCCCUGGGGUGAAAAAGGAAGAUGACUAUGAAUAGCAAAAUGGUAAAGCACAGCUACUGUUGCAACUGCCUGGAAAGAGAACGAGGGGACAGAGGAUGAAAAAUUUCACACACACAUUCACAUGGAAGAGUGAGUCCUCCAUAUACCUAUUGCCCAAAUUCAACAGAGCUGAUCAGAAUUUUGCAAAAUUACAUUUAUCUUUCCUUGUUUUUAUCCUUGCUGAAGUAUUUUACAUCAUCUCAGUCAUCAUGUCAAUUCACUCUAUGUGUGUAUCUAAAAAAUACAGAUUUUUUAAACCGCAUAAUAAAAUAAGUCUGAGAGUUCCCAUCAUGGCUCAGCUGGUUAAAAGCCUGACCAAUAUCCAUGAGGAUAUGGCACAGUGGCCUCGUUCAGUGGGUUAAGGAUUCUGCGUUGCUUUGAGCUGCAGUGUAGGUUGCAGUUGUGGCUUGGAUUUGGCAUUGCCGUAGCUGUGUGUAGGCCAGGAGCUGCAGCUCCAAUUCAACCCCUAGCCCUGGAACUUUCAUAUGCUGUAGGUGCAGCCCUAAAAAGGAAAAAAGAAAAGAAAAAAGAGGUGUAAACAUAAAAUCGAGGAAUUUAAAUAAAAGUUCUAUAAUGUUAAACUUGGAUUUGAAUUAUUAGCAUGAACUCCUGAUUUGCUUUUAUCUCUUAGGAGAAAAGGCCUAGCAAAAAUAAAAAGUCAGUAGCAAUGGAUAUUUGAUUACUUCUUUUUUUCCCCUGGCACUAGAAGAUGUUCCACAGCCAUCUUGGACAUUUCUUGUCCCGUACUUGUAAUAGGCUGUUUCUUCCAAGGAGCUUUGAUUCUGGUGAGUGAGAAAUGAUAUUUGGUAACCACCUAGAACUAACACAGAUACUAAAAUAAACAGACAAGAUUACAGAAGCAAUUAUUAUAACUGUGUUCCUUAAUAUACUCAAAACAUUAAGGAAGAUAUAGAAUAUAUAUAUAUAUAUAUAUAUAUAUUUUUUUUUUUUUUUUGUCUUUUG